rnacentral:lncRNA from 1 species
CGCUUUUUAUUUUCAAAAUGGCUGCUUACUAAAGAGUAAAAUGGCGAAAGGCACCAAUUUAAGUGCGAAUAGGCCCCGCAAGAAGGGCAACUCUUUAACCUUUAGGACUCCGAAAGAGAAAAAACAGCGAAGACUAAAAAUGAACGAAGGCUCCAUGUCCUUGGCAUCAAGUAGUAAAAUAGAGAAGAGUAAAAGAACAGAUUCUACACCUGUAAAAACAUCGCGAGCAAUGCAACGUGAAAGAAGAGGUGAAAGCUCAUCUAUAUCAUCGUCAAAGGAAAAUGUUUCAGAAGUUGAUGAGGUAA